UGGGGAAUAUUGCACAAUGGGCGCAAGCCUGAUGCAGCCAUGCCGCGUGUAUGAAGAAGGCCUUCGGGGUGUAAAGUACUGUCAGCGGGGAGGAAGGGAGUAAAGUUAAUACCUCUGCUCAUUGACGUUACCCGCAGAAGAAGCACCGGCUAACUCCGUGCCAGCAGCCGCGGUAAUACGGAGGGUGCAAGCGUUAAUCGGAAUUACUGGGCGUAAAGCGCACGCAGGCGGUUUGUUAAGUCAGAUGUGAAAUCCCCGGGCGCAACCUGGGAACUGCAUCUGAUACUGGCAAGCUUGAGUCUCGUAGAGGGGGGUAGAAUUCCAGGUGUAGCGGUGAAAUGCGUAGAGAUCUGGAGGAAUACCGGUGGCGAAGGCGGCCCCCUGGACGAAGACUGACGCUCAGGUGCGAAAGCGUGGGGAGCAAACAGG
rnacentral:rRNA from 1 species